GUGAAUCAUCAAAUCUUUGAACGCAUAUUGCACUCUCUGGUAUUCCGGAGAGUAUGCCUGUUUGAGGGUAAUUAAAAAGUAUAUUUAACCAAUUUUUUUGUCAAAGGUAAUGAGUUCUCGGCGGUUGUAGCGAUAGCUUGAAAUAAAUGUUCAAGUCUCAUUUUAUUCUAGACGCUGAAUAAUGUUAUUUGUCGGAAUUUUCCUUUUUUGAGUAUCAAUGUUU
rnacentral:misc_RNA from 1 species